UCAAACUUGGUCAUUUAGAGGAAGUAAAAGUCGUAACAAGGUUUCCGUAGGUGAACCUGCGGAAGGAUCAUUACUGAAUAAAACUUGGUUGGGCUGUUGCUGGCUCUUAGGAGCAUGUGCACGCCUACUCCAUUUCAACCACCUGUGCAUCUUUGUAGAUCUGAAUACUGAGAAUUGCUAUUGCUGGCUUUUCUCUUGUUUGGGUCUAUGUUUUUUAUAUACUCCAUACGAAUGUAUCAGAAUGUUGUGGUUAGGCCCCUGUGCCUAUAAAGCAAUCUAUACAACUUUCAACAACGGAUCUCUUGGCUCUCGCAUCGAUGAAGAACGCAGC
rnacentral:misc_RNA from 1 species